rnacentral:lncRNA from 1 species
CCUUCCACUUCAGCCCUUAAACCUGGGCUGACCCACUCCAGGAUGGUGAGGUAAAUAACUCCGCUGACACUCUCCAGUCAACCUGCUAACGCAAAGAACAUGCACCAGCAUUCUAGACAACAGCCCUAGACCGCGCCGCUUGCCCUCCUCUUCACUGCGGUCCACAGCCAGUUUUGACUUCUCCAGUCAGAUCCUGGCUCUGAGCCCUUCCUUCACUCCCACAGUUGGGCAGACCUGAUUCUCCGUCACUUUCCCAGACAGUUCCUGGUUCAGCUUGUUUCUUUGUUUCUGGCCCCGAGAGGAAAAUGUCCUGCUCUAAACCAACUUCUCUGGAACCCACUGGCAGGAUGUGACCUUGGGCAUACUGCUACUUUCCCCUUUCCCUGGACCUCACUUCUAUUCCUUCUUGUAAGUAUUUUUCUUUCACUGACAUACAGUGAUCCUGAGAUCAAAUAGCUCUAUCACACAGUUUUAUUUAGAUACAAAUGGAUUUCUGAUAAAGGAGUCAGGUCACUUUGCCCAUAAAGUUAUAUAAAUGGUAAACAAAACAGUAAAUAAAUGUUAUGUGAUUUUAUCCAAGCACCUGCUCCUGCUUCUGGCAGAGCUGAGACAGCAGAUAUGCCAUUUGUCUGGAGCUCUUUAGCUUCACUGCACAAUGUAGUCAUUCAACAAAUAUUAUUGUGUAUCUAUAGGGGGUGCUGUGCUAUGCUCUGAGAACUCAGUGAUGGACAAGACAUAUGUGAUCCUCAUCCUCUGCAAUCACAAUAUAAUGGCAGAGAGUGACAAUUGAAUCAUUUAGAUACUAAGUAGAUUUCGUUCAAUAUAAAUAGAAAUAUUUUGACAAUUCAAGCUUAAUAACAGCAUUUCAAUAGCUGCUACCUAUUGGUGCCUGUGAUAUGUCAGACACCAUGCUAGAUGCUUUAUGUAUU